GGGGGGGGGGGGGGGGGGGGGGGGGGGGGGGAGGGCGGGCGGGCAGACGGGGGGCGGGCGGCGCGGACGUUGGCGGCGGGCGGGUGAGUAACCCGGGGAUAACCUACCUAUACGACUGGGGUCACUUCGGGAAACCGGAGCUAAUGCCGGCUAAUCUAUUGACCCGCAUGGUUCACUAGUGAAAGACGGUUUUGCUGUCACUUAUAGAUGGAUCCGCGCCGCAUUAGCUAGUUGGUAAGGUAACGGCUUACCAAGGCAACGAUGCGUAGCCGACCUGAGAGGGUGAUCGGCCACACUGGAACUGAGACACGGUCCAGACUCCUACGGGAGGCAGCAGUAGGGAAUCUUCCGCAAUGGGCGAAAGCCUGAGGAGCAACGCCGCGUGAGUGAUGAAGGUCUUCGGAUCGUAAAACUCUGUUAUUAGGGAAGAACAAAUGUGUAAGUAACUAUGCACGUCUUGACGGUACCUAAUCAGAAAGCCACGGCUAACUACGUG
rnacentral:rRNA from 1 species